GACGAACGCUGGCGGCGUGCUUAACACAUGCAAGUCGAACGGAAAGGCCCUGCUUUUGUGGGGUGCUCGAGUGGCGAACGGGUGAGUAACACGUGAGUAACCUGCCCUUGACUUUGGGAUAACUUCAGGAAACUGGGGCUAAUACCGGAUAGGAGCUCCUGCUGCAUGGUGGGGGUUGGAAAGUUUCGGCGGUUGGGGAUGGACUCGCGGCUUAUCAGCUUGUUGGUGGGGUAGUGGCUUACCAAGGCUUUGACGGGUAGCCGGCCUGAGAGGGUGACCGGCCACAUUGGGACUGAGAUACGGCCCAGACUCCUAUGGGAGGCAGCAGUGGGGAAUAUUGCACAAUGGGCGGAAGCCUGACGCAGCAACGCCGCGUGCGGGAUGACGGCCUUCGGGUUGUAAACCGCUUUCGCCUGUGACGAAGCGUGAGUGACGGUAAUGGGUAAAGAAGCACCGGCUAACUACGUG
rnacentral:rRNA from 1 species